rnacentral:rRNA from 1 species
GACGAACGCUGGCGGCGUGCUUAACACAUGCAAGUCGUACGGUAAGGCCCUUUCGGGGGUACACGAGUGGCGAACGGGUGAGUAACACGUGAGUAACCUGCCCACAACUUUGGGAUAACGCUAGGAAACUGGUGCUAAUACUGGAUAUGUGCUCCUGCUGCAUGGUGGGGGUUGGAAAGCUCCGGCGGUUGUGGAUGGACUCGCGGCCUAUCAGCUUGUUGGUGGGGUAGUGGCCUACCAAGGCGGCGACGGGUAGCCGGCCUGAGGGGGUGACCGGCCAAAUGGGGAAGGGAAAACGGCCCAAACUCCUAGGGGAGGAAGAGGGGGGGAAAAUUGAAAAAGGGGCGAAAGCCUGAGGCAGCAACGCCGGGUGGGGGAGGAAGGCCUUCGGGUUGUAAACCCUUUUCAGAAGGGAGGAAGUUUUUUGGGACGGUACCGGAAGAAGAAGCAACGGCUAACUACGU